rfam:Metarhizium album ARSEF 1941 scaffold_56, whole genome shotgun sequence.
UUUUUAUUGAGUUUGAUGAUGGCUCUGAUUGAACGCUGUCCAAAGUAUCGACACAUGCUAAUCGUACGUCAUUUUAUUGCUAUACUUUUCGAUUUAUAUCAUAAAUCAAGCGUAGUAAUAAAAAUGAAGUGGUGUAAAGGUGAGUAUAUAAUAUUUUACGUCUACCUUAAAGUAGGGAAGAAAAUUCCUUAUAAAGUAUAUGAUACUGAUUUAAGUUGAUUAUACAAAAGAAAAAAGUUUUUCGCUUUAAGAUGCUCAAAAUAUUUUCGAGUAAGUAGUAGUUAAGGUAACGACUUAACUAGCUUUACCUCGUAGUCGAAACUGAGAGGUUGAUCGACCACAUUGGGUCUGAAAAAACCCCAAUACGUCUAGUACAGCAGUGAGGAAUAUUGGUCAAUGGCCUAACGGCCGAACCAGCAAUUUGGGGGAAUGCGAUAUUUAGUUUUUUUAAUAUAUCGAAAUAAACGGCUAUGUCGUAUAAAGUUCUAGAUAGAUGAUUGAUAAUGACAGUUUUCUAUCUAUAUGUCUUGACCAAAUCUUGUGCCAGCAGUCGCGGCAAUACAAGUAAGACUAGUGUUAUUCAUCUUUAUUAGGUUUAAAGGGUACCUAGACAGUAUAUCUAGCCUCAAAAGGGAACAGAUUUACUAGAGUUUUAUGUGAGAGGAAAAUAUUAGAACCAUUGGAGUAGUGAUAGAAUAUUUUGAUACUAAUGGGACGGAUAACGGCGAAGGCAAACCUCUAUGUAAUAACUGACGUUGAGGGACGAAGGCUUGGGGAGCGAAUAGGAUUAGAUACCCUAGUAGUCCAAGCAGAGAAUUAUGAAUGUUAUAUAUUAAAAUUUUUAGUGUAUAAAUGAAAGUGUAAGCAUUCCACCUCAAGAGUAAUGCGGCAACGCAGGAACUGAAAUCACUAGACCGUUUCUGACACCAGUAGUGAAGUAUGUUGUUUAAUUCGAUGAUCCACGAUUAGACCGUUUCUGAAACCAGUAGUGAAGUAUGUUAUUUAAUUCGAUGACCCUCGAAAAACCUUACCACAAUUUGAAUAUUUUACAGGAGUUGCACGGCUGUUUUCAGUUAAUGUUGUGAAGGGUUCUUCCUACCCCCUAUCAAUUAGCCAGUAUAUUUAUAUGGUUAAUACCUAAAAAAGAUAGAUAAGAUAAAUAAUACAAGUGUUGCACGGCUGUCUAAAGUUAAUGUCGUGAGACUUUGGUUAGAUCCAUUAAAUUAACGUAAACCCUUGCUUUAUUUUAUUAUAUAAAGCAGUUCACCAAUUCAUUGGAUAUGAUAACAGGGAUGAAGACAAGUCAUCAUGACCUUAAUAUUGUGGGCUAUAGACGUGCCACAUAUGUUUGUACAAAAGGAGGCGAAAGUGUGAACUUUAGCUAAUCCUUAAAACAGAAUAAAACAUGGAUUGUAGUCUGAAAUUCGACUGCAUCAAUAAGGAAUUACUAGUAAUCGUGAGUCACCACAUCACGGUGAAUUUAAUCUCAGAUAGGUACUAACCACUCGUCAGGCGCUGAAAGGAGUAUGCGCAAUAAGUUUGGCUAUUUAAUAAUUUUUCCUAUUAAUAAUUAGUUAAUAUUUAGAACUAACCCUUCUAUAAGAUACUUUGUUGGAUAGUUUUCGUAUGCGUGACUUUGAUUGGUGUUAAGUCGAAAUACGGUUCGUGUAGUGGAAAUUGCACGGGAUUAAUUAACAUU